UACGGGGGGGGCAAGCGUUGUCCGGAAUUAUUGGGCGUAAAGAGCUCGUAGGCGGUGUGUCACGUCGUUCGUGAAAACCUGCAGCUUAACUGUGGGCGUGCGGUCGAUACGGGCAUCACUGGAGUUCGGCAGGGGAGACUGGAAUUCCUGGUGUAGCGGUGAAAUGCGCAGAUAUCAGGAGGAACACCGGCGGCGAAGGCGGGUCUCUGGGCCGAUACUGACGCUGAGGAGCGAAAGCGUGGGGAGCGAACAGG
rnacentral:rRNA from 1 species